rnacentral:rRNA from 1 species
AUACGGAGGGUGCAAGCGUUGUCCGGAUUUAUUGGGUUUAAAGGGUGCGUAGGCGGUGCGCUAAGUCAGUGGUGAAAUCCCGCAGCUCAACUGCGGAACUGCCAUUGAUACUGGCGCACUUGAGUACGGACGAGGUAGGCGGAAUUUAUGGUGUAGCGGUGAAAUGCAUAGAUACCAUAAAGAACACCGAUAGCGAAGGCAGCUUACUAGACCGUAACUGACGCUCAGGCACGAAAGCGUGGGGAGCGAACAGGAUUAGAUACCCCGGUAGUCC